UACAGAGGUCUCAAGCGUUGUUCGGAUUCAUUGGGCGUAAAGGGUGCGUAGGCGGCGCGGUAAGUCGGGUGUGAAAUCUUGGAGCUUAACUCCGAAACUGCAUUCGAUACUGCCGUGCUUGAGGACUGGAAAGGAGACUGGAAUUUACGGUGUAGCGGUGAAAUUCGUAGAUAUCAAGCGGAACACCGGUGGCGAAGGCGGCCUUCUGGACAGUGACUGACGCUGAGACGCGAAAGCGUGGGGAGCAAACAGG
rnacentral:rRNA from 1 species